ensembl:lncRNA
AGCUUGUCCUGCUGACAACCCCUUCGUCCUCAGCCGAAGCCCUCACCAUGACCAUGUGAGAGGCGCGUCCACGGGCUGUGGCUGGGCUCCAGUGCUCAUGGGGUAAGCCGGUCAGACUCAGGAGCCACAAGGGGCUCCUUCAGGCUGCAGCUGGAGCGCCCCCCCAGGCUCAUCUCCUCCCCCAGGCCCACCCCAGGUGGGAGGAAGCCGCCUCCCCAGAGCCACCUCUCACACCACUGUCAGAGCCCACACUCCAGGACGAUGAUGUGAACUUGGUAAAUAAUCGUCAACUCAAUGAAUGGACGCAAGAAGCCUGGGAGAGGGUCCAGGAACUAUGGCUGCAUGUCUUAUCAGCGGCUGAUGACACAACUGUUUAUCAUGACAUUGUUUCGAACCGUUCACGCUGGCACAGAAUCUCAGCAAAACUGCCUGAUGGAGCCUGGGAGCCCCUGAGUCCAAGGGCACCCUGGGGAGGCGUCUGCUCACCUGGUGCAAAGCUGUUCGGGGUUUCCAAUCCACCCCCGAUCUGCGAAUGCACCCUUGUGGCCAAUAGGACUGUGGACGUGGAGGCUCUGAAGCGGGCGACGGUACCAAUGGCCCCGGGGCGAGUGUAACCUCAGAGUCCUGACGAGGGAAGGAGGGAGGCAGGCAGGUCGGAGUCAGGGAGGCCUCAGGGCUGCAGGGAGCUGACCCUGACUGCGG